rfam:TPA: Bos taurus chromosome 11, whole genome shotgun sequence.
UCCCUGUUGGCUCAGAGGGUAAAGCAUCUGCCUGCAAGGUAGAAGACCUGGGUUCUAUCCCUGGGUCAGGAA